AACGCAGCGAAGGGCGAUAAGUAAUGUGAAUUGCAGAAUUCAGUGAAUCAUCGAAUCUUUGAACGCACAUUGCGCCCCUUGGUAUUCCGGGGGGGCAUGCCUGUUCGAGCGUCAUUACAACCCUCAAGCCUAGCUUGGUAUUGGGCCUCGCCACUAACCUGGCGGGCCUCAAAAUUAGUGGCGGUGCCGUCGUGGCCCUGAGCGUAGUAAAUAUCCUCGCUAUAGGGACCCGGCGGUUACUGGCCAGCAACCCCCAACUUUUCUAAGUUUGACCUCGGAUCAGGUAGGGAUACCCGCUGAACUUAA
rnacentral:rRNA from 1 species